AGCGGCGAACGGGUGAGUAACACGUGGGUGAUCUGCCUUGCACUUCGGGAUAAGCCUGGGAAACUGGGUCUAAUACCGGAUAUGACCCCGGAAUGCAUGUUCUGGGGUGGAAAGAUUUAUCGGUGCGAGAUGGGCCCGCGGCCUAUCAGCUUGUUGGUGAGGUAACGGCUCACCAAGGCGACGACGGGUAGCCGACCUGAGAGGGUGACCGGCCACACUGGGACUGAGACACGGCCCAGACUCCUACGGGAGGCAGCAGUGGGGAAUAUUGCACAAUGGGCGCAAGCCUGAUGCAGCGACGCCGCGUGCGGGAUGACGGCCUUCGGGUUGUAAACCGCUUUUGACAGGGACGAAGCGCAAGUGACUGUACCUGUAGAAUAAGGACCGGCCAACUACGUGCCAGCAGCCGCGGUAAUACGUAGGGUCCGAGCGUUGUCCGGAAUUACUGGGCGUAAAGAGCUUGUAGGCGGUUCGUCGCGUCGUUUGUGAAAACUUGGGGCUCAACCUUAAGCUUGCAGGCGAUACGGGCGGACUAGAGUACUUCAGGGGAGACUGGAAUUCCUGGUGUAGCGGUGAAAUGCGCAGAUAUCAGGAGGAACACCGGUGGCGAAGGCGGGUCUCUGGGAAGUAACUGACGCUGAGAAGCGAAAGCAUGGGUAGCAAACAGGAUUAGAUACCCUGGUAGUCCAUGCCGUAAACGGUGGGUACUAGGUGUGGGGCUCCUUCCACGGACUCCGUGCCGUAGCUAACGCAUUAAGUACCCCGCCUGGGGAGUACGGCCGCAAGGCUAAAACUCAAAGAAAUUGACGGGGGCCCGCACAAGCGGCGGAGCAUGUGGAUUAAUUCGAUGCAACGCGAAGAACCUUACCUGGGUUUGACAUACACCGGAAACCUGCAGAGAUGUAGGCCCCCUUGUGGUCGGUGUACAGGUGGUGCAUGGCUGUCGUCAGCUCGUGUCGUGAGAUGUUGGGUUAAGUCCCGCAACGAGCGCAACCCUUAUCUUAUGUUGCCAGCGCGUAAUGGCGGGGACUCGUGAGAGACUGCCGGGGUCAACUCGGAGGAAGGUGGGGACGACGUCAAGUCAUCAUGCCCCUUAUGUCCAGGGCUUCACACAUGCUACAAUGGCCGGUACAGAGGGCUGCGAUACCGCGAGGUGGAGCGAAUCCCUUAAAGCCGGUCUCAGUUCGGAUCGGGGUCUGCAACUCGACCCCGUGAAGUUGGAGUCGCUAGUAAUCGCAGAUCAGCAACGCUGCGGUGAAUACGUUCCCGGGCCUUGUACACACCGCCCGUCACGUCAUGAAAGUCGGUAACACCC
rnacentral:rRNA from 1 species